AGCAGCCGCGGUAAUUCCAGCUCCAAUAGCGUAUAUUAAAGUUGUUGCAGUUAAAAAGCUCGCAGUUGAAUUUCGGGAUCAAUGUUUCGGUCAUGCCCUUGGUAUGUACGGAUAUUAUUGGUUUCUCACCUUCUAAAGAACCGUAAUGCCAUUAAUUUGGUGUCACGGGGAAUUAGGACUGUUACCUUGAAAAAAUUAGAGUGUUUAAAGCAGGCUCACGCUUGAAUACAUUAGCAUGGAAUAAUGAAAUAGGACAUCCGAUUCUAUUUUGUUGGUUUCUAGGAUCGAUGUAAUGAUUAAUAGGGAUAGUUGGGGGCAUUAGUAUUCAAUUGUCAGAGGUGAAAUUCUUGGAUUUAUUGAAGACUAACUACUGCGAAAGCAUUUGCCAAGGAUGUUUUCAUUAAUCAAGAACGAAAGUUAGGGGAUCGAAGACGAUCAGAUACCGUCGUAGUCUUAACCAUAAACUAUGCCGACUAGGGAUCGGAUGAUGUUAAUUUUUUAAUGACUCA
rnacentral:rRNA from 1 species